CUUCUUCCUCUCCACGCAAGACAACAAGCGGAAGGAAAUAUCUUCGUACAAAAAGCUCAGAAAACACCGGCGCCCAUCACCGUCGCGCUGUCGUCUCCGGCCACCACCGCCAAUCCGAGACCACCUCCAGCUUUGCAGUGAGACGCUGAAGCUCCUCGACACACGCGCGCAUCCAAUCGGCCACGAAAAUCGACAUCCAUAUCGUCGUUCUCCUCUCCGGCCACCACACACCGGCGAGAUUUCCGACCGCCUCCGACCUCUUCCACCCCAGAUGAGGUGUUCAUCAACUUCCUGAAAAUCGUCGGAAGAACCUCGAGCUCGCCGUCGCCAGAAGUCGUCGUCCACCGCGCCGCGUGUGGGGAUGGCUCAUCCGUGAUCCCCACUUCCUCCUCGAUAUUUUCCUGGAGCCGGAGAAGCUUGGAAGGACAAGGCCGACCUUGUCUUCCUCCCGAGACUGCAACGCGUCUUCUUCCUCUACGUCCUCGUCUCCGUCUCCUCCGACCUGUACGUCUACAACAGCAACCUCCUGCAUUUGCUUCUUCCCGGAUAGGAUCACGAAGUGGUGAUGUGAGAUACGAC